rnacentral:rRNA from 2 species
UACGUAGGUGGCAAGCGUUGUCCGGAUUUAUUGGGUUUAAAGGGUGCGUAGGCGGUCUUAUAAGUCAGUGGUGAAAUACGGCAGCUCAACUGUCGAGGUGCCAUUGAUACUGUAGGACUUGAGUACAGACGAGGUAGGCGGAAUUGACGGUGUAGCGGUGAAAUGCUUAGAUAUCGUCAAGAACACCGAUAGCGAAGGCAGCUUACUAGGCUGUAACUGACGCUGAGGCACGAAAGUGUGGGGAUCAAACAGG